GGAGCUGUUGGAGCAGAGGGGACUCAGAGCUGGCAACAAGGUCUUUCCUGCCACAGUGACUUUGGAAGCCACAUGUUCUAGAUGACAUAGCUGGCUACAAGAAUGCAGGAGGCUGCAUGACCCUUACUGGACUUCAGGUGAGUGGGAAAUCAAUAUUUGUUGCAUUGAGGAACUAGAUUUCAAGGUUUAUCUGAUACUGCAGCAUAACCGAGCCUAUCCUGGCUAAUGCGUCAUCUGAGUAUGUGUCCAAAACUUGCAACUGGAGGAGACUAGUUGUAAGAGCUAAGCAUCUAGCAGGAGUUCAAUAAAGGAUGGUUCACUGCACCCUAG
rnacentral:lncRNA from 1 species